GCUCUUCUAGUAUAGCUAUUACAAUGGACUUCCAAUCCCUAGACUUCGGUUCAAACCCGGAGAAGAGCA
rnacentral:tRNA from 1 species